rnacentral:lncRNA from 1 species
AACAAAAGCUAUAAGCAAAAACAAGGGUGAAAUCUUAGAAGAAAAUACUAAAUGAACAAAACAAGAUGCAACUCUCUUGAGUACCCCCACACUCCCUUGAGUGUGCACUUUUUGCUUUGAAAUAAAAUCUCUGUACUUUCACUAUUUUCUGACUCAUCCUUGAAUUCCUUCUCAUGAUGGUGUCAAGAGUCUGGACACCGGCUGGCGCUGAGGUCCCAUCGGCAUUUGGGGACCCCCCCCCUCCAGCCUACCAGUAUCAUCUUUAUGGCCAUCCAGCCCAGAGCAUCAUCAGCCACAUCAGAACCACCAGCAGUUGCCUGACUCCCCUCAGCCGUAGUGCCUCUGCUUCCUCCAGCUGGAAAACGCAGUUCGCCCUGACAGUGACAAAUGGAGGUGGGAAGGCUUUGACCUACACCUGAGCUCUGAGGUGCCAUGGGCCUCCUGGGCAAGAGGCUAAUGAGGGUCGUGCCGAGGACAAGUCAAGGCUAUGGGUAACUCUCUUUUAGAAAAUGGGGUGCAAUGGCCAGAGUCUAGGACCGUAAAAUGCAAUACCAUCUUGGAAUUAAAUCUUUUUUGUAAACAUCAGAAGAAGUGGACUGAAGUAGCAUAUGUAUUAAU